AUUGAACGCUGGCGGCAGGCCUAACACAUGCAAGUCGAGCGAGCGGCGGACGGGUGAGUAAUGUAUGGGGACUGCCCGAUAGAGGGGGAUAACUACUGGAAACGGUGGGUAAUACCGCAUACUAUCGGAUAACCUAUAUGGGAUUAGCUAGUAGGUGGGGUAAAGGCUCACCUAGGCGACGAUCUCUAGCUGGUCUGAGAGGAUGAUCCUCCACACUGAGACUGAGACUCACCACCGAGUCCUGCGAAGGCACCAGUGGGGCAUAUUGCACAAGGGACGCAAGGCUGAUAUAGCCAGGCGGCGUGUAUGAAGAAGGCCUUAGGGGUGUAAAGUACUUUCAACGGGGAGGCUUUACCCACAGAAGAAGCACCGACUAACUCCGUGCCAGCAGCCGCGGUAAUAC
rnacentral:rRNA from 1 species